CCUGGGGAAGAAACACAGCUCUGUGUCCUGGCUUUGCAGCCCAGCUCCUACAUGGAGAAACAAAAUGAGAGGCACAGCUCACCCUCUCCAAGGAAUACGCCCUUCCUAAUGAGAGUCGACCCAGGAGCUAUGUGGGAGUGGCGCCCAUUCCCAGGCAGGCUUCAAUGCCACUGAAAGCCAGCGAUGGAGACAGGCAGCCUCUGAGAAAAGAGACACCAGUGGGAAAUUUUGCUUUGAUGCUGGCUCGUCAGCAAGCUCCGGCACCAGGGAGGAGGAGGAGGAAGGACUGCCGGCUCUCGCGAUGCUCCCCUGCAUGUGCAUACAUGCAGAGCUGAGCUCAGCCAGAGAUCCUGGGAGAGGGUUGCAGCAACCGCAGAGCAAGUCACCAGCUGUGCCCUGCCUGACUGGGCAGCACAGGGCUGGCACAGCCUGAGCCCCACAUGGCAGCCAAGCACCCGCCAUUGGACAGGACGGACCGCGGAGAAGAGUUGGCACUGCAAGGACGCCACGAAAGGACCGUGUCGUACAACCGCCCAUCGUCCCAAGAUGUCGCUGACCAACACCAGCAUCCCUUGCUACUGUUUGGCCCCAGGAGCAGAAGCAGCCUUGAGCAAAGACCUCAGAGUGUUCUGGUCCAGAUUCUGCCAGUAGCUCCAACCUCCACAUGUGCACUGGCAUCCCUGCUGUCCAGUCAAGGAGAUGCCCAACUGGCCAGGAAGACAACCUGUGAAGAUCACAUUUCACACCCUGGGCAGCUCUGACACACAGCUUCUACUAAACUGCAAGACACAGGGGGAAAAAGCAAGCUCACAUGAAGGUGACUUUCCCUCCACUGCCCAGGAGAGACUUGCAAGGAAAGUUCUUCCACCAGGCUUCAGGGCUGGCCAUGCUGUGGGCAGGGCUGAGCCUGCCCUGCUUGGCCACCAGUGCCAGCAGCCCCAAGCAGGACCCAGCAGCCCCAAGCAUGACCCAGCAGUCCCAAGCAGGACACUCUGAUGAGAAUCCAGCAGCCACAUGGGAACUGUGCUCUGCAGCCCACAACGGAGACGCACACACAGCAGGGAUGGGUUUGCUCUCAUCCAUUAGAUGAACUUGACCUGAACUAAUACUGAAGUGACAGAAGCCUGGCAUAAAUCACAGACUUUACAGACUUCAGACACACAGGGAGAGCACCCUUACCUCUUUCAGUGCUUCUCACUGGGGCUGGGCUGCAUCUCUUGGGCUGCCUCUCUGCAGAUUCGGGAUUGAUUCGCCCCAUACAGAGGGACACCACAGCAUCUACACUGAGCAACACAGGCCCUGCCUUCCCUGCUGGGAAGCACUUCCCAUGCUCACCUCAGACAUUUUGUACAUGUGCACAUGAAAAAGUUUCUUGGGCAAGAGCUUGUGCCUAUGCCACCUUGCAAUCAC
rnacentral:lncRNA from 1 species